AGAAGCAGACAGGACGAGCUGGAGACUGCUUUGUCCCUUCAGCUUUCUGCCGAAGAACGGGAAGAAGUCUGCCAAAUCAAGCGUGAGCUCCAGGACCUGCAGCGUCUGUACAGGCCCGGCUCCUUCAGCAGCAGGAGGGCCUUAACCUGGACACGCAGAGAGUCCUGCGCAGCCGAGAGGAGGCCCACACGGCACACACCGUCUCCUUCCAGAAGCUCCACAGCGAGCUGAGCGUGUCAUACCAAGCCCAGGAAGAGCUCUGCCAGAGAGAUCAGCAGAUCCGAGAGCUCCAGGCACAGCUGCGGAGCUUCACAGCAGCCGUGGGGCACGCGAGGCUAAAAUGCAAAACACAAGUGCAGCAGGACAGAGAGGAUUCAUGGAAGAAAUUAUUGUUUUAUAAUGAGGAGAACAAGAAGCUACUCUCUGACAUAACGCCGGGAGUGAGAUGAGCAAACACUGGGCUGCUAACAAGAGCCUGAGGGCUCAGUUAGAUGAAAGAGAUCAGACGCUGAAGGAGCUGCACCAGAGGUAAAUGCUCUCUUUCACCCUUCUGCGGUCUUUCUCUUUCCCGUGCUGCGCGUCACGUGGGCAGCGUCUGAUUCCACCGUGCGGCCGACUCCAGCAGCGUCUCUAGAUCUCCAGACCCGUGAAGCUGGCUGUGGAUAGAGACAGGUUGGUGUUUCAGAGAGGGAUGUGACGAUGAAGAGGCAGCUGGUGGAGGAUCUCAGAUGCAGACUAUAGAUCUGCCAGAACACUGAGACGAGCCACAGAUCAGCGGCUGAAGACUUGGAGAAGAAAGAAGGUCCUGCUCCGACAACAGCCGCUCUACUAGCAACCUGGAAUUAAUUAUUCUCUCUGCCGUUAUUGAUUGUGUCACUCAUCCACAGUCUGAACGUCCUAGGCUUCUACGUUUCUCUGUCUGUUUAAAAAUAUCGAAGUAAUUGAAUUGCUUUUCUUUUUUUAGAUGGAAUCUCUCACUGAUGAGGCAGCUUACCGAAGAGAAGAUUGACAGAUGCCACUGCAGAACAAAACCAGCAUGAGGCAACCAGCCAAAAACUCAAAGAAGAGCUUCAGAGAAAGGUUCAAGAGCAUCUGUACAUCACUCAGGAAUCGUAAUGCUUUUUUUGGGCUUGUCCUGCGUUGUAUUGCAGGAUGGCUUUUUCUUUCUCUUUCUUUAUUCACCUAAUUACCAUCAGUCUCGUUUGAUGUUUGGCGCCAAAUGCCAUACUUUGCCCCAGUUUCAUCGUUCAGUUCAUUCUAUCCGUUAUAUACUAUCUCCUAAUUGGUGAAACGCUUGUUAAGUGUGUUUAUUCCUCAGGAGCAGAGAAUGGCCGUCCUAGUCAUCACUGGGAAUGUAACGAUUCACUCAACUCGAUUUAUUUUUCUUUUUUUACAAAAUUAGAUUUAAGACAAAUUAUAAAUUAAAUGUGUCCUUUUAUUAUUGCUUGGACAAAAUGCUGCAUGUUUCUUUGUGAAAUUGAAAUGUAACACUAUAAUAAUAUACUAAAAUAGCACUUAUCACUGUUCUUUUGUUGGUUUUGAUUGCUUCUAUUGUCCUCAUUUGUAAGUCGCUUUGGGUUGAAGCAUCUGCUAAAUGACUAAAUCUAAAUAUAAUGUAAAUGUAAAUAACAAAACUAAAUUGAAAUUUAAAAAUAAGUAACACAAAUAAAAGAAAUCUUGGUCUGUGCUCUUUCCAUUUAAAAUGAGAGGCAACCACUGCAUUUUAAUCAUGAGCAGUUUUUAAUCUAAAUUAGAUUGUAUAACUUUAAAUUUAAAGCAAAAACAGAAUGGUUUGACUUCAGUUUUGUGAAACUAUACAUAAAAAAUAUUUGCAUGAAGCAGAAACUGAAACAGCAGAUGAGCUGAACGAGACGCAGAUUCACUCUCUGCCAGCAGGUGGCGCUUAAAGUGUUUCCUUGGUUACCG
ensembl:lncRNA